UACGAAGGGGGCUAGCGUUGCUCGGAAUCACUGGGCGUAAAGGGCGCGUAGGCGGCCAUUCCAGUCGGAGGUGAAAGCCCAGGGCUCAACCCUGGAAUUGCCUUCGAUACUGUCUGGCUAGAGACCGGAAGAGGUAAGUGGAACUGCGAGUGUAGAGGUGAAAUUCGUAGAUAUUCGCAAGAACACCAGUGGCGAAGGCGGCUUACUGGUCCGGUUCUGACGCUGAGGCGCGAAAGCGUGGGGAGCAAACAGG
rnacentral:rRNA from 1 species